rnacentral:rRNA from 1 species
UGAGGAAUAUUGCGCAAUGGGCGAAAGCCUGACGCAGCGACGCCGCGUGGAGGAUGAAGGUUUUCGGAUUGUAAACUCCUGUUAAGUGGGAAGAAACGACAAAAUAUAAUACAUUUUGUAACUGACGGUACCAUUAAAGAAAGCACCGGCUAACUUCGUGCCAGCAGCCGCGGUAAUAUGAGGGGUGCAAGCGUUAUUCGGAAUUAUUGGGCGUAAAGGGUGCGUAGGCGGCGUAUUAAGUCAACUGUUAAAACCUCCAGCCUAACUGGAGAUCAGCAGUAGAUACUGGUAUGCUAGAGGAUGGAAGAGAGAAGUGGAAUUCUUGGAGUAGCGGUGGAAUGCGUAGAUCUCAAGAGGAACACCAAUGGCGAAGGCAGCUUCUUGGUCCAUAUCUGACGCUGAUGCACGAAAGCGUGGGGAGCAACCAGGAUUAGAUACCCUGGUAGUCCACGCCGUAAACGAUGAUCACUAGAUGUUAAUUCUGCUUGCAGAAUUAGUGUCGUAGCUAACGCGAUAAGUGAUCCGCCUGGGGGACUACGGUCGCAAGAUUAAAACUUAAA